AUGUGUAAUAGAGAAGGAUUCAAGUCAAAAGAUAUUAAGGAGAUUAAUGACCCCUUGAGGAAAAGACGUAAGCAGACAGACACGCGAUGCGGUUGUGAUGCCCAUAUAUUUGUUAGACUUUGUGGGGAGAACACCUACAAGAUAGACUCAUGGAUUGAGCAUCAUGUUCAUGGUCUUGUAUCACCUGAUAAGCGUCAUUUGAUCAGAUCCAAUCGUAGAGUUAGUGAGAGGGCAAAGAAUACUUUAUACACAUGUCAUAAGGCAAGCAUUGGAACCUCCCAGGCAUACAGGCUCCUGCAAGUUAGCGAGGGUGGAAUUCCGAAUGCUGGGUGCACAAAGAGGGACUUGCAAAAUUACUAUCGCGGACUCAGGUAUAAAAUCAGAGACGCAGAUGCUCAAAUGUUUGUGGCCCAAUUAGCUAGAAAGCAGGAAGUGAAUUCAGCAUUUUUCUAUGAUUUUGAGGUGAAUGAUGAGGGGAACCUGGUGCGUGUGUUCUGGGCGGAUGCCACAAGUAGGAAGAACUAUAGUCACUUUGGUGAUGUGAUAUCCUUCGAUUCUACAUACACCACUAAUCAGUACAACAUGAUAUUUACACCAUGUACAAGGGUUAAUCAUCACUUACAAAGUGUCCUUUUUGGUGCUGGAUUCUUAUCAAAUGAGAAGGAUGAGUCAUACAUUUGGUUAUUUCAGACCUUCCUAAAAGCAAUGGGAGGGGUAGCACCUAGACUCAUCAUAACUGAUGAAGCUGCUAGCAUCAAGAAUAGUAUUGACAAAGUUCUUCCAGCCACUAUGCAUAGGUUAUGCAUGUGGCAUAUAAUGGAAAAGGUGCAUGAAAAAGUUGGACCUUUGAUUAGAGAAGAUUCUGAAUUUUGGCCGAGGUUGAACUCAUGUGUUUGGGGUUCAGAAACUGCAAGUGAGUUUGAAAACAAUGGAAUUCCAUCAUUACAGAUUUUGGGUUGGAGGAUAACGAGUGGUUAG
rnacentral:rRNA from 1 species